rnacentral:rRNA from 1 species
UUGAAUUGAAGAGUUUGAUCAUGGCUCAGAUUGAACGCUGGCGGCAGGCCUAACACAUGCAAGUCGAGCGGUAACAGAGAGAAGCUUGCUUCUCUGCUGACGAGCGGCGGACGGGUGAGUAAUGCUUGGGGAGCUGCCUGAUAGCGGGGGACAACCACUGGAAACGGUGGCUAAUACCGCAUAAUGUCUACGGACCAAAGCAGGGGAUCUUUCGGGACCUUGCGCUAUCAGAUGCACCCAAGUGAGAUUAGUUAGUUGGUGGGGUAA